rnacentral:lncRNA from 1 species
AAACCACCAGGUCGCGUUGUGGUCUAUAAAAGCUCCAGUUCCGCCUCACGUCGUCCUUCCGCUGUGGCAACCGGCUUAGAGACACUGCGUAUCAUGAUGUCCUGCGCGAGCCGGAGGAGGAUGUCCGAAAGGCGGCUGAAUGAGUGUGAUCCUGAGCACUUUGACCCUGGAUAAAACGGUAGGUUAGAUAAAGAGUUGUGCCAAAAUCAAGGCCUUAAAUGUCAUAACGAAACACAAAAUUUAGAUUUAAACUGGCAUUCAGUCUAAAUUAAUAGGAACAUUAUGAAGCUUACUGUACAGGUUCAUCGAAAAGAACAAAAUGAUCGUUUUUGCUAGAAACUUUCCUGUUUGAAUGUGAGCUGCUUUAUAAAAAGAAUAACAAUAAUUCUGCAUUUGUGGCAUUAACAUAUAGUAUUUGGGCAUUAAAUUUGACUUCUUUCUGCCUUUUUAUAAACCCUAAGACUUUGUAUUUUUAGCUGCAGUUCUAUCCACUAUUUUUUUUUUUUGGCAUUGGAGAUUUACUCUUGUGAAUUUGCACGUCUAUAACCGAUAUUUAGAUAUGAUCUGAUAGACCGUAGUUUAGCGAGGCCUGAUUCGCUGUGAUGACUCUUUUUCCUGCCAUUCGUAGUUUCCUCCAGAGGCCGAGGGGCCAAAGACGGUUCAAACCUUCCUUGGAUGUCUGAGCGAAUCUUAAAACAGAGUCUCCUUUAGCUCUGUUUUAAUGUUGCUGUUUCUAACUUGGACUUUUUCUUUCAGGUGUUGUGAAGAUCUGGGCUUCGAAUGCUGAGUAAAGAUGGAGUUGUGGUUCGGGGCAAGGUCUUGGACGCAGAACUCUCCGGUCGACGAUGGAGUCGUGGUUCGGCGGCGGCUCUUGGGCGAGGUCUUGUAUUCCAGAACUCUCCGGUCGCCGAAUUCGUCUUUUGAAUCGUCGGUGCCUCCGGGAGCGAGACGUGAAGAGCUCUUGUCCCUCAGGCUUCGCCGUCAGAACCAUCUCGUGUCCGUCCUCGUUUGUUCCAGUCGACUGCAGCAAAUGAGCAGAACGAUGGAACCAACGGGCAAAUGGUUCAACUGUUUGAUGCAUUACAAUUCACAAGUGUUUACUCUCCCGGUGCUUAAAGGCCCGAUACGGUUAGUAAAGAUUCACUAAGUGAACCAUGCAAGUAAAGUGACGAGGGGCAGAUCUUUAAAUUGCACUCUUCUGUUUGGGAAUGAAAUAAAAUAUUAUUUUUGAAUGGAACAAUUUGCUUUGUCAG